AUCGAUGAAGAACGCAGCGAAAUGCGAUAAGUAAUGUGAAUUGCAGAAUUCAGUGAAUCAUCGAAUCUUUGAACGCACAUUGCGCUCCCUGGUAUUCCGGGGAGCAUGCCUAUUCGAGCGUCAUUACAACCCUCACGCUCAGCGUGGUAUUGGGCUCGCCCUGUAGGGCCUGCCUCAAAGUCAGUGGCAGCACUGUCUGACCCUAAGCGUAGUAAUACUCGUCGCUUUUGGGCUCGGGCAGCUUCCUGUCAGUAAACCCCCACAUUCAAAGGUUGACCUCGGAUUAGGUAGGGAUACCCGCUGAACUUAAGCAUAUCAAUAAGCGGAGGAAAAGAAACCAACAGGGAUUGCCUCAGUAACGGCGAGUGAAGCGGCAACAGCUCAAAUUUGAAAGCUGGCUCCUUCGGGGCCCGCGUUGUAAUUUGUAGAGGAUGCUUCGGGUGCAGUACCGGUCUAAGUUCUUUGGAACAAGACGUCAUAGAGGGUGAGAAUCCCGUAUGUGACUGGCUGCUUGCGCCCAUGUGAAGCUCCUUCGACGAGUCGAGUUGUUUGGGAAUGCAGCUCUAAAUGGGUGGUGUACUUCAUCUAAAGCUAAAUAUUGGCCAGAGACCGAUAGCGCACAAGUAGAGUGAUCGAAAGAUGAAAAGCACUUUGGAAAGAGAGUUAAACAGUACGUGAAAUUGUUGAAAGGGAAGCGCUUGCAAUCAGACUUGCGCGGCGUCGAUCAGCCUGGGUUCUCCCUGGUGCACUCGGCGCCGCUCAGGCCAGCAUCAGUUUCGGCGGUUGGAUAAAGGCUCAGGGAACGUAGGUCGCUUCGGCGACUGUUAUAGCCCUGGGUGCAAUGCAGCCUGCCGGGACUGAGGACCGCGCUUCGGCUAGGAUGCUGGCGUAAUGGUUGUAAGCGACCCGUCUUGAAACACGG
rnacentral:rRNA from 1 species